UAAAAACAUAUAUAUAACAAAAUUAAUUGGUUAAGGUUUUCCUAAAAUGUUUUCUCAGUCAGUGACUUCAUCACUUUUUGACUCAGCAUUAAUGAUGCUCCUGUUUUUUCACACAUUAUUGUCCUCUCUGCCUCCAGAACAGCAACAGGCAGCAUUUCUUAAGGGAACCCAUGAAGCACAGUCAUUGGCUCUUCAACUGGCUUUGCAAUCACGUAGAGCAUUUACCUUUGACUCCUGCUUAAGGAAUGUCGCUAAACUUGUCUGUUUACCAUGAUGAAUGCCUCUUCCCUACCUCAGCAGAAAACUACGGAUUUUUUUCUGCAGAGGAUUUGAUAGGAGGGUCUCUGGUCUAGAGAACACCAGGCAGAGUCAAGGGCGGGGAGCAUAUGGCAAAACCAGGAAAACCGUGACCCCUCCCUCUCCUUCCCCCAGACCCCUGGGGCUUUGUCUCAGCCCUCUGAGCCCCACAUUUAACACCAGACAGGCAAAGAGAAUAUCCAGGAUGACAAAUGUACACUGGCUGUAGAGGGCACAAAAAUCCAGAUUGAAGCAGGGCAGAAGGCUUUAGGAGAAAUUUCUUAAAAGAAAUGAAACUGAUAAGAAUAUUUGAACGUAUCAAGAAAAAUACUUAAGAGAAACACUCAUUCAACUUAGAAUAGAAUAAUUGGUAGGUACAUAGAAAAAAACCAAGAAAACAAGAAAACAAGGCAAUUAUUAACUGCAAAGAAAAUUAAAAAAUUUUACAGGAAAGGAAACGUAAUCCCAGGAUACUAUACAGCCAAUUGUGAAUAGCAUGAUUGUGAAUUCAUGAUAAUGUGAAGCUGAAUAUGGCUUUAACCCAAAGACGACAUUACCACAUUGGAAGGAUGAGGAGAAAGAAGGGUGUUUGUAGGGCUUACACUGUCGGGGAAAAACCUACAGUGGGGAGUCCAUAGGUAAUGCCUAAAUAACUGGGGGAAAAAAAUGGCAAUACAUAGAUAAAAACAGUAAAAGAACCAGCAAAAGAGCUUUGAAAAAAUGUUUGCCUCUGAAAAGAGAAAAUAGAGGAAAGUUAUGGACUGGUUUUAACAAACAGUUUUGUAGACUUACUUGACUCUUUGUGUGCAUCUAACAAAUCAUGGCACAUACAUAGUAGAAAACUAUAUAGCUAUCGAAAAGAACAAAGCAUGCCUAAAUGUGCCGAACUGGAAAGGGGCCACAAAAUAUUGUUAUGCUGAAAAAAGGGCUAUAGAACAAAGAACCAAGAAUACAUAUAAUGUGAUGCCUGUUUUAUUUUUUUAAAGUCUAUUUUUGUACACCCUUAGAAUUCUAACUCUAGUUCUCACAUGCAUAAAUUAAUCCAAACUAGCAAAAAUAAAUCACCUAAUAAAAUUUUGAGAUAGUGUUUUAAAUAAAACUUAAAAAUAAAUAAUUAAGUAAAACUAAUUUAGCUUGGUUCAGAGGGCCAAGCCAAAAGCCAUGGAAAAUUAUUCCUAGGCUUUACAUUUUAAUCAUGCCAACAUGUGCCCUGCUGAAUUGUUAUGGAUCAACGACUCCCGUGUGCCUUCCAUUUACCCCUUUUUGAAAGAGUGUGGCUUCCAGUUAUCCUAUGCCUGUCCACCCAUGGUCUGCUGGGUGGGGGGCUGUACUCAAAGGCUACAUUCAAGAAAUCCGAGGAGUAUAAAUCCACACCUGCACCUGUUUUUAGAUGGCAAGAUUCUGGAUGUUAGGCUGAUGUGCUAAUGGAAUAUAACCUUUGGGGGCCUUGGGAAGGGUUAAGUACAUCCCAUAUUUGGGAGGACAAGACUCACUAGGGGACAGAGGGUCAGACAGUGGUAGCCAGCCUCCAAGACGAACCCCCAUAUCCUUGCCUCCUGGUGUUCAGGCCUUUGUGUGGUCCCUUCCCUCACAGGAUAGGACUGGCUUUAAUAACCAAAAGGAUGGUGUAGAAAUGAUGGUGUAUGAUUUCCAAAGAUAGGUCAUAAACUACAUUGUAACUCCUGCCUGGCUCCCCCUUGGAUCACUCAUUCCUCCUGCUGCUAGGGCAUGUGGAAGCAGGGACACUGCUGAUGGCAAUAUUAAUGGGGUCAGUCUUCAUACAGAGCAGUUUGAUAACAUAUGAAUAACUUUAAAACUAUACCCUUCAACCUGGUUAGUGACAUAAAUGUAUUUAUUCAUAUAUUCAUAUAUAUAUAUAUAUAAACAUUCAGUCAAAGGUCUAUCUGUAACUAUGAAAAAUGUUGAUGUCCUAAAAGCCUGCAUGGGAAAAUGACUAAGCAAACUAUGAUUUAUUGACCUAAGAAAAUUCAGAGCAGUAUGUCUUAAAGUACCUGGAGGAACACUGUGUUCCUUGAGAUGUUAACAAGUAUUGCUAGAAAAACAGGUACUGUGGCCAAAACAUUCAGGAAGCAUUACUUUAAGAUGUGAACUGUCUACUUAUCUCCAGGUUUCAUGCACUAUCAUCUAAAAUCCAUAAGGUGUUACAAGUAAAUGUAGAGAAAAUCCACUUUCAUAGUAUUGAAUCCUAAGUUAUCAUCAUUUGUGGUAAAAUAUACACUAUUAAAAUAAUACACAGUAGUGAUUUUCAGUUAAAUAUGACAGACUGAACUAUCAGUUUACUGCUACUCUCUCCCCAAAUCUCACUAACAACACAAUGCAGGAUUUUUUAAAAGGCAUGAACAAGAAAAAAGGGAACAGGAAAGAAGAUAAUGGCAACAAAAUUUUGGACGGAAAGCAAGUGAAUAUGACUUAGCAACCAGGGAAAAUCUGAAGCUUCUGCCCACAGUGGAUGUCCUGGAAGUAGGCCAGGCACUUCUAAAAGAGGAACACAGGACAAUUAAUUAAAAAUCUGUAUGAGAAGCAUAAGAGCCCCAGGCCCUUGCCCACUCCCUCCAGAAGGCGGAGUGACCCCCUCCAUCCAAGAGGAAGGUUUCUACCAAAGAAAGGCCAAACCAGGAAGGCUCUGGCCUCAGAAACACCCCCCUGGGCCACUGUUCCAGGCUCUGAAGAUAUAGCAGUAAACAAAACAGAUACAAAUCCCUGCCCUCAUAAAGUUUACAUUGUACUGAGAUAAAUGAAAGAUCCACCCUAAGGAAUGCCAGAAUGCUAGAGACAAGGAGAAAAAUCCUGUAAGAUUCAAGAGAACAAAACAGGAAUAGGAAUCAGAUUGAUGUGGGACUUCUCAACAACACUGGAAGCUGGAAGAUAAUAGAGUAAUGCCUUCAAAAUACUAAGUAAAAAUGGUCUCAAUCUCGAAUCCUAUACCUGGCCAACCUAUCAAUCAAAUGUAAGGGCAAAAUAGAGACAUCUGCAGCCCUAAAAUUUUUACCUACCCUGUACUCUUUCUUAGGAAGCUCCUGGAGGGUAUGGUCUAUAAACAUGGGGGAAUAAACCAAGAAAGAGGAAGAUUUUGAGAGACAUGAGGGACAGAAUACAGAAUGAAGCAGAGAUGCCAGCACUGGCUGCUUAUCAAGCCUAGAGCACAGACAGAACUGGAGGAUGAAAGCCUCCUAAAGGGACAUCUCCAGCAGAUAAUGAGAGUAAUAGAUUAUCUGAUGGAUUUGAACAUGUUGAGAAUGGAUUCAUUUUUAUGGAAAACUGUACAGAUAGAUUAGUGAUAGGCAUAUAGAAUAAAUAUAUAAUCUGUGUAUAUAUACAUGGCUCAACUGUGAAUAAUAUUUACAUAGCAAAAAUAAUACAAACACUGAAAACUGAUCUGACCCAAAAGUAUAUUAUAACUAUACUGGGAGGAAGGAAGGAAGGAAGGAAAUAGAAGUGUGUGUAUGUGUAGAGGGGAUAUAAGAUUCGAUUUUCUAUUUCACAUUAGGAAGGCAAUUGGUUAUAUCUAAACCUAGAAAGUAAAUACAGUAUAAGCAAGAUAUUUAGAAAUACACAGGCAAAUUCCAGAAGAAACAGUUAAAACCAUUGAAAGUAGUUUCAGGUGGGCAGCAUGGAAGUACAGGAUAGGGAGCUGCUCUUUUCCUCAUCAUAAAUUCAUACUGGACAAAUAAUUGACUUUUUUAAAAAACUGAGAUAUAAUUUACAUACAAUGCAAUGUAUGGAUUUAAGUAUACACUUAAAUGAGUUUUGGCUACUUGAUUUUUUAAAGCUAUGUUCAUAUAUUACUUUGAUAAAAAUAAAAUAAAAAUAAAUGUCACACUCAUCUGAAAUUUUUGGGGGGAAAUAAAACUGAGAAGUGAUUAAUAAAUCCUCUUGGUGAAUUAAUAAAUGUCUUGGUGAAUUUUUGCAGGAGCCUCCCUGGCCAGAAGAAGGCACCAUUAUUUCAACUGGCCCAAGCUUCCUGUUCACCUACUCUCAACUUAACCAUUCUGGAACCUUGUUAAGUAAGAUCCUGCAGUGGACUGAAGUGAGUUCAAGCCUUUACAGUCUCCCCAGGGAAUGCACAGACCAGCUGCAGGCUCAACCUCCAAUCAGCUCUCCACAAGCAGCCCAGUGGAUCUUUUCAAAAGUAAAAGUCACCAACCUGCUUAAAAUCCAUCAGUGGCUUUCCCCAGUUCUUAAGUUAACGAGGAAAGCCUUUAAAUGGCUUACAAGGAUCUGCCAGGCUCAUCAACAGGGAAUUGUCCUAUAUAGGAAUUUCCUCACAAUGGAAAGAAAUGAAAAUUCACUGAAGGCUGGCAAUGCACAAUGAACUCCAAUGUGAUGUCAAGGUCCCUGCUUCACAUACUUUAGCCAGAGGGACUAACACAGGAAUGGGUUUCUCAGAAAAGAUGCACAACUGUCUUUGGAAUCUUUAAAAAUAAGGAUACCUCAUACAUUUGGAAAAGUUUAAGCAAAGUUAAAUGAAUUGUUCAUGAAAGAUUACCGUGUAAUCAUUUCUGAUGCAGUUAACAUUUCCGAAGAAAGGGUAAGGUCAAUCUGUUAACUACAUUUAUUUCAGCUGCAAAAAAUACAAUACAGA